ensembl:lncRNA
AUUGCACAUUAUCUUGGUGUAUUGACUAAAAUGCUCCAAGAGGAAAACUUAAAGAAGUUCUAUGAGAGAGACAGAGAGAGAGAGAGAGAGAGAGAGAGAGAGAGAGAGAGAGAGAGAGAGAGAGAGAGAGAAAGAGAGAACGACAGAAUGAGAGAGAGAGAGUGAGAGAGACAGAGAGAGAGAGAUAGAGAGAGAGAGAGACAGAGAGAGAGAGAGGGAGAGAACGAGAGAGAGAGAGAGAGAGAGAGAGUGAGUACGAGACAUAAUGGAGAGCGAGAGAGAGAAAAAGAGAGAACGAGAGAGAGAGAAUGAGAACGAGAGUGAGAGAGUGAGAACGAGAGAGAGAGAGAAUGAGAGAGUGAGAACAAGAGUGAGAGAGAGAGUUCACAGGAUUUUUGUUUUGUUUUGUUUUUUGCUUGUUUCCUGCUGAUAAUAUAAAUACGGACCAAAUAAAUAUUGAUAGACCUACUACUACUAAUAAUAAUUCAGUGGCCCAUCUUCAAUUACUUCUUACUUAUUUCUGAAAAAUCUACAUUUUCUGUCGUUUUGUUUGUUGUUAAAUGUGUGCGCUGCGGUGGACAGUACAUUUCUGUUCUUUCAUUUCUCUUGGCGAAGUGAUAUGGAACUGUAAUGUAAUUAAUUCUUAAAACCCAAAUUCCGAUUGCAGCUUAACCUCUGGUUAUUAACGCAUCACGAGGCUGCACACAGCUGUUUUGUCAAGGAAGUUGGCUUAAGUAUCUUAUCUCGAAGUUAGAUGCAUAGUUAAAAUGUAACUAAUGUCUUAUAUAAAGUCCAGUAUGAAAGCUUACCCGAGCUCCGGACAGUGCAGUAAUAACAAUAGUCAUGCAUGACAUAAUGGGUAUGAACACACUGUCACGAACUGGUCUGUAAUGUGAUAGGAAAUAUAUGAUGUUGUUCUAGGAAAGAGGUCAUGGCUGGAACAUGUCUUAUUCACUGUGUCCUGAUUCAAGUCCUGCUUAUCACAGUCUAUGCUCAAUUUCCAACAAACUGUGCAAAUCAAGCUACCACUGAGGGAAAACCAGUACAUCUAACCUGCAAUGUUACAUGUAAAAAAUGUGAAUUAGACAGCUAUACUUGGAAGCAUGGAGAAACUAAAAUCAACUGCAGUAAAAUGCGUAACUUUACUAGUGGCAACAGUCAUAUAUUUCAUUGCAUAAAUGAAAGUGCAUCAGCGAGUCACAGUGGAACAUUUACAUUUUGGGUACAAAUGAAAGAAGGAAUUGGUGAAACAAAAUUCAGCGUGACCAUAGAGCGGCCUGCUGCUAAUCUCACCACACCAGGUCCUGUUUCUACAACCAAUUCUCACGGUCAUGAAGAGAAACUUAAGACUUCACCUAAGGGUCGUUCACCUGAAGUUGCCUUGGCUGUAUUGUUCAUGAUUUGUCUUGCCUUAGGCCUCAUUGUUGCUGUUUUGUUUAUAAGAAAUAAAAACUGUAAUAUGUCAAUUUCAUCAAUAUUCACUCACAAAAUGAUCACAGAAACUGAAAUAAUAUAAUCCCAAUACAUACAGUAGUUGUGACACUGUCCCAAGCUCAGAAAGAUAAGCUUUCUUUAUGUCAGUCUCUGUCAUGGCAGAGGGAGAUUAAGGAAAUUAAGGAAAAAGGGGGAAAUUGUACAGUUAAGGGGAAAAUAUAAUCCCAUAUAUGUAGCAGAUUCUUUUCUUUCUUUCUUUUUCUAACGCUUCAUUUCUAGUUUCAGUGAAAUAUUUAUCUCUUACUUAUCACUGUGUGAUGCUUUUCAAUUGCUAAUGGAUUGGUGUGAACUGACUCCUUUUCUGAUUUUGAGAUUUUGUGGGAUCUGUUUUUAAACAUCUGUGGUGAUUUUUACCCGUAGCUUUUUUACAAUUAUUUACCUUCUCAGAAUGAAAAAGGUAACAUACCGUACAAACAUUUCUCACUGCUGUAAUAUACUCGAGAACAUGUUGUUUAUACUGUUACUUAUAUAAAUACAAAUAUAUAGUAUUAUAAUUAAUGGUAUAUAAUCUUUAAGAACAACUGUUGUACCUUUGACAACAAAAAUACUUGUACAGGGCUUUUUCACAGAACUCACUGUAAUCUGUGAUUUAAUUUUUUUUAAUACUAAUACUAAUACUACUAAUAAUAAUACAUGGCGGAGCAGAACACUGAAUAGAUUUUGGUGUUGCAGUUUUGUGUACUUUUGUAUAUUGUGUAUUCUGUUGUAUUGCCAGUUCUGUUGUAUUGUGUGCUUUUUUACUGUAAAUGUGAAUAUAUUAAUAAAUGUACAGAAUUCACACAGUUCUUGGGUGUUUAUAAUUCUACUGUGAUGAGAAUUUGCUCAGGCAAUGAUAUACCAACAAAAUGUAAAAUAAGACUGGUGAACAUGUGCAUUCAUGUCCCUCAGCACAAAGCCAGAUCUGUGGGAGGUGGAGGAUGUUUAUCUUGGGGUGGUUUAGUAGACAUUUAUAAAGAUCACAACAAAAAUGUUUACUUUUAUUAAUGUUUUUAGAAUGUCACAGAGGAACGGGAACAUGAAACACAGAUAAAAAUCCAGCUGUAACAGAUGUUCCCUUAUGGUGUACAUCAAAGAAAUAUGUUUUCCUCUCUUCUAGACCAGUUACAAUGUGACUUGUUUAAAUUUCAUUUUAAUAUUAAAUAUCAGGGUUGAAUGCUUACCUGGAUGUCAUUAUCCUUCUGCCUCAGACAGGUAGAGCUAACUAGUGGGAAGUAAUUGAACAUCUAACGCUCAUGAUGCUGAUUUUGAUUUUCAGACAUCUGAAAUUUGUUACCUCUCGAAGCCACAAAAGUUGCCUGAUGGAAAACUGAGAAAUCUCACCAAGCUUUGGUUCACUCCACUUAUAACUGACCUUUUGAUGUAUUUUGUAUUGGGUUCUCUGGAACAUUGAUGACCUCUGAGAGUGUGUUAGAUUUAACAGGUCGCUUCAAAUAGAAAGAGCUGAUCUGCUUCACAGAACCAAGUAGAUGCACUUUGCACACUUUCUGUCUUGACAACCUUCACUAGUUUGAACUUGUGAUGCUACUUUGCAGGUCGUAUAUAAUGCGUAGUCCUGGGACAAAAAUGUUUUUGACCAUCUCAAACCCUGGUAGUCAGUAAUGGGAAUGGGGACACUAGAGAAAGGCUUAGGAGAG